GAAGGGCAAAAUUUAAGGACUACAGUAGUAAACUUCAUCAUGCUUUAGCCGGUUAUAGGAAUUAAGUACACACAAAAAGAAAACACUGGCCCCGUUCUUGUCAUAUGUUACACCCAAUGCAUGCAAACAAGCACUGUACCGACCAACUAUGGCACCUAAAAAUGUACUAUUAUAUUGUGGGACGGAGGGAGUACGUAGUAAUUUCAGACCUCUUUAGGCAUCUACAACGCUGGCUCUUAGCCCGGGCGCUAGGAUGUUAUUCCUGGCCGUUUUGGCUCCAUCCUGUUCGAUCCUGGGAUUUAGGCAGGCGUCGCUGCCAAGCCAGUCGUCUGACUCUUGGUCCCUUAGGCCCAGUAUCUAGGAAAUUAUCGUAUGGACCACUUCUAGGUUUCCAAAUAUUUUCCUGCCGAAUUGACAAGCAUAUAGACUUGUCCAAAUAAAAUAGCAAAUGGGAGAAUGAUUCUCAAGAUAUCAGUACAGAUUCUAAGCUCCCAGGAUUGUGAGGCUCCUGGUGAAUCGGUGGUGUGAAAGCUGUGUGGGUCAACGUUUGACAGGGUGUGAACCGGGUGGCAGUUGGGUCCAUGUGUCCGUGUUGUACAGAUUAGCUGCGUGUGGACUGCUAGGGGACGUGGGCUGUAUUCUGGGGCCCGUUUGUAUGUGUCUGAUACGGUCGUGUCGACUCUUUGGUUGGUUCGGAUUGAUUCGUGGUGGCUGCGUGUGCCUUCCUGUGUACGUGUCGGUGCCCCCUCUUUCUUUUCCUAUUGGGGCUGCGACCAUUUAUUCUCUUCUUUGGAUUUGGGUGAGGGGGCCGGCGGUGCUGGCUCCUUCCUUUAGCGGGCGGCGGCGGCGGCUUGUGGGUUCGAUCGCUCCCUCUUUGUCGAGGGGCCAGAUCAUGCGCUGGUAUUUUCUUCUUCCCCUGCAUCGGUUGUCUCAACUCGUGGAUUUGCAUCGUCUGCAUCGCUCUUCUUCUCUAUGUUCGGAGGUUUGUUAUUGUUUUCAUUCUUUUUGGUUGUUGCCGGUUUGAUUUUUGUGAUUGGGACUCAUUUGUGGUGUCUUGUCACGCCCGUUGUUGUUGCGAGAUCGAGGCGUGAGCUAGAACUCAGAGAUACGUGAAUUUGGGGGAAAACUCAAGAGCAGAGAGAAGAACAGAGACGCGAGAGAUAGAAGCAGAUGGGGAAAUUCUCAUUCCUUCAAUUCUUACCUUCUUCACCAGUCCAACCUGACCAAAUAGCCAAGACCCCACUUAACUUAACACACGCACACACCACGCGCUACACAACUCCGGAAGAAUUACGCCUCUUUGCCUGAUGCUCCAUCAGGUGUUACAUGUGUGUGGAUUGCAUGUUUGGAGGUCGCAUGUGAGUGCUGGAGCGGGGGAUCCUUUGUCCUCAUCUUUUUUUUUCUGUAUGAGUUUGUGGUUAGGCUCCCACAUGUCGUUGUUCAAAUUGGUGGUGUGAGAUAGUUUUUGUUAUUAUCCUGAAUAAGAUGGUUAUCUAGGGAUGUUUGGAGGGUUAGCCUUAUGAUGUUGUAAGGGGGUUUUGUUUUAUAUUGAUAGGGCCUUUGGUUGUGUUUAGUAAUUUUUUCUUAGGAGAAUGAGAGUUCUGAUAACCAAGCUUUUCAACCUCAUUUUUCGGGGGCAAACAAGAUGCCAGAAGAAUGGAGACGGAGUAUAUUAGUACCAAUCUUCAAGAACAAGGGGGAUGUUCAGAGUUGUACUAAUUACCGUGGAAUUAAGCUGAUGAGCCAUACAAUGAAGCUAUGGGAGAGAGUCAUUGAGCACCGCUUAAGAAGAAUGACAAGCGUGACCAAAAAUCAGUUUGGUUUCAUGCAUGGGAGGUCGACCAUGGAAGCCAUUUUCUUGGUACGACAAUUUAUAAAGAGACACAGGGAGCAAAAGAAGGACUUGCAUAUGGUGUUCAUUGACUUGGAGAAGGCCUAUGAUAAGAUACUGCGGAAUGUCAUGUGGUGGGCCUUGGAGAAACACAAAGUCCCAGCAAAGUACAUUACCCUCAUCAAGGACAUGUACGAUAAUGUUGUGACAAGUGUUCGAACAAGUGAUGUCGACAUUGAUGACUUCCCAAUUAAGAUAGGACUGCAUCAGGGGUCAGUUUUGAGCGCUUAUCUUUUUGCCUUGCUGAUGGAUGAGGUCACAAGGGAUAUACAAGGAGAUAUCCCAUGGUGUAUGCUCUUCGCGGAUGAUGUGGUUCUAGUUGACGAUAGUCGAACGGGGGUAAAUAGGAAGUUAGAGUUAUAGAGACAAACCUUGGAAUCGAAAGGGUUUAGGCUUAGUAGAACUAAAACCGAGUACAUGAUGUGCGGUUUCAGUACUACUAGGUGUGAGGAGGAGGUUAGCCUUGACGGGCAGGUGGUGCCUCAGAAGAACACCUUUCGAUAUUUGGGGUCAAUGCUGCAGGAGGAUGGGGAUAUUGAACAAGACGUGAACCAUCGGAUCAAAGCCAGAUGGAUGAAGUGGCGCCAAGCUUUUGCCAUUCUCUGUGAUAAGAGAGUGCCACAAAAGCUAAAAGACAAGUUCUAUAGGACAGCGGUUCGACCCGCAAUGUUGUAUGGCGCUGAGUGUUGGCCGACUAAAAGGCGACAUGUUCAACAGUUAGGUGUGGCGGAGAUGCGUAUGUUGAGAUGGAUGUGUGGCCACACGAGGAAGGAUCGAGUCCGGAAUGAUGAUAUACGAGAUAGAGUUGGGGUAGCGCCAAUUGAAGAGAAGCUUGUCCAACAUCGUCUGAGAUGGUUUGGGCAUAUUCAGCGUAGGCCUCCAGAAGCUCCAGUGCAUAGCGGAAGGCUAAAGCGUGCGGAGAAUGUCAAGAGAGGUCAGGGUAGACCGAACUUGACAUGGGAGGAGUCCGUUAAGAGAGACCUAAAGGAUUGGAGUAUGACCAAAGAACUAGCUAUGGACAGGGGUGCGUGGAACCUUGCUAUCCAUGUGCCAGAGCCAUGAGUUAGUCGCGAGAUCUUUAUGGGUUUCACCUCUAGCCUACCCCAACUUGUUUGGGACUAAAGGCUUUGUUGUUGUUGUUGUUGUUGUUGUUGUUGUUAUGGUUUAAUGGUUGCUUUUGUUCUUCUUCAACGGUCAGAGUGCUGCUGGGUCUGUGGUAGGUUCGGUUUAUGUGUGUUUUUUAAUUGUCAUGUACUCCUACAGAAAAGAAGAUUUGUCUGUGGUUUAUUUAGGUUGUUGUUUCUGUGUUUAGGUAGAUUAUUCAGCAAAUGCUUGGGGGUGGGUCAUGUGAUGUUGCUGUGAAGUGUCUGUUUUAUGGUGGUGGUGUUUUUAGAGGGCUUUUAUUACGUCUGGUUGAAGAUUCUAUGGCAUUAUCAUUUUGUCUUGCUGCAACUGCAGUCCACGUUGUAGCUAUGCUAGCUCUUAGGUAAAAAUCAUGGUUCGUGUUGCUUGGUAGGAGGUUCAAAUGGUUAUUUGAAGUCGUUUUGGUUGAUGUCUUGCUGAAGCAUGCAUAUGUUUGGUAUAUCCAGUUAUGUAUAUGUAUAGUUGUUUUAUGUCUGGCUCUGAGCGAGCCUUGGUGUUAGCUUCGGUGCUGCCAGCAUUGCUAAACAUGUACUUUACUUGUGCUGUCUCAUUGGUUAUCUUCGAUCAAGAAGAAAAGAUUGUAUGACCUGGUAGUGGAAUUGAUGGGUCUAAGUUAACAUAGAUUUAUAGAUUUCUAUACCUACUAAUAAAAGAAAUAGGUAUUCUUGGUCCGUCAUGCUAUUUUUCAGAACACACUCAAGUUUUUGGUAAUAAACCCGCAGUACAUGUUAACAGAUUUUUUAAAAAUCCAUAACUUUUUAAUCCUAACUCCAAAUUUAACAUGUUAUAUAUGAAAUUUGAUUAGAAAAAUAUGUAGAAUCUGAAUAUGAUAUUAUUUUUAACUGUUAAACAUUUAAAAAUAUGCUAUUUACGAUGAAACCUUAAUCAAUAGCGCAUGAUCAGUCUUUCCUUCAUACCGGUGCCGCUCCGAAUUGAAAAUGAACCUUCGGUAAAACCAGGAUUGUGAAAUAAACAAUAUCUAAAAAAUUCACAAAAAAAAAGAUUUAUCAUCCUAUGCCGAAAGGGAGACUUCUUAAGAUUGACAACAUUCAAACGUGUUGUGAUGGUGUGAACACUGAGCCCAGCAUCAACGAGAAUGGGAAGAAGGAUAAAUAGAAACACAGAUGGGAUGCCAUGUGUUGAAAUAAAGGACAUGGACCUACGAAUUCAUGGUUAUUAGAUUAGUGAGUGUUUUUUCACCUGUUGCAACGCACGGGCUCAUUUGCAUCGUAUGCCGAGAGAGAGACGUCUUAAGAUUGACAACAUUCAAAUGUGUUGUGUUGAUGUCAACACUGAGGCCAACAUCGACGAGAGUGGGAAGAAAGGUAAAUAGAAACACAGAUGGGAUGCCAUGUGUUGAAAUAAAGGACAUGGACCUACUGAAGUUUGGACUCAUGGUUAUUAGAUUAGGAAGUGUUUUUCACCCGUUGCAACGCACGGGCUCAUUUGCAAGUGUUUUCUUAUGUAUUACUGUCAUUUGUAGCCAAACUGCUAUACGUCGUUUUCAUGCGACUCUUUUCCUAAUUAGUCCAGUUUUAUUGGUAUGUGUAUUGAGAUUCAUUUAUUUUAUCCCCUUUGUGUUUUGUUUCUCUGUGCUUUAACAUGGUCGUCCAGGAAGGGCAAUUGUUCAGUUAUGCCGCUGGAGAUCAUGGCUCUGGUUGGAAGGAAAUAUGUCGUCGAAGUGAGCGCGCCACGAUAUUCCUUUAGGAGAGAUAAGGAUGCCUUGACUUUCUAGGUUCGCAAGUUCUUCCCAGUGGGUGGAUCUAUGUAUUAUGAUUUCGUUGCAGGCAGCAGUUCUUCCUGUACCGGUGCUGCAGCGGAAUUGCCUGCUCAUCUUGAUGGAGUGGCUGCUGAAGCUUCUGGCGCUGCUAGCCAGCGCCAUGAGCUCCCUGAAGGUGUCUUUACGCCAGCAAAGGAUGUGUUGGUGACUUUCCCUUCAUUACCUUUUGAACUGUGUCCACGCCAGAUUUCCAGUUCGUCUGAAGCACUGCUCUUAUACAUAUGUUGUUAUUACAGGAAACCUAGACGCAGAAUGAACAUGUUGAUGAUACAUCAGAGUGAGUGAAGGAGGAUGAUCCACCAAAGAAUAAUAAAAUGUCUAGCUUAGAUAAUUUAGCAUUUCUUAAUCUGUGAGUGGCCUUGUUAUAAUGCUCUGGAGAUGUACUGCGUUACACCAGGGCCGGUGCAGCUGCUGUAAAAUCCACAGUUGAAAAGAAGUUGGCUGUAAGUGGGUCGGAAAAGGGUGGUCGUGUGUACGUGUGGAAUUCAUCGGAAUUCGUUGUCCUUAUUUGUAAUAGGAAGAAAGGAUUUACAAUGUUCAUGCUUAACUGUU